GUGAGGCGCGGGCUAUGGGGGGAGAAGCUUCUAGACCAUCCUGCCCACAGGUCUCCGCGAUGCGCAUCCCCUGAGCCCGGCACCCAACCGCUUCGGGCCAAACCCCCCUCGGGCGCUGCGGGCUGACCCCAGCCCUCCCGGGGCGCUGCGGGAACCCCCCGGGGCCGGGGCACGGCCGGGGAGCGAGGAGCGGGGAUGCGGUGGUGCCGGGAGCGGGCGGCCGGGCGGCUGCGUCCUCGCUCGCCGCUGAUUUUAAGGUGUUUCACAUCUAGCUACUCAAACUUGAGGGAGGCCCUGCAGAGUCUCAGGCACCUGAAUGGGACAGUACAAGUGCGAGCUCCAGACUGCAUUCCAUGGGAUCAUGUGCAUGGCAGGAGGAGGAAGCCUGAGCUGAAGCUCCACCAUGAGCAUCAGAAAACUCCGUACACAACGUCGUCAAGAGACAUAACACUCUGACCAUGCCUCACGGACAAGCCCAAUCUCCUAAAAACAAAAGGUGACACCUUUCUCAAGAAGAGGAAGUUCCUGUCUCCAUCAGGAGAAUGAAAACUAGGGAUUACACUCAUGGCUUGAUAAGACAUUUUGGAUCAUCUGUUUGUUGUUUAGAAUCAUAGAAUCAUAGAAUCACCAAAGUUGGAAACUCCAAGAUCAUCGUGUCUAACAGUCCACCUACCACCAAUAUUUCCCCACUAAACCAUAUCCCUUAGGACAACAUCUUGAACACCUGCAGAGACGGUGACUCAACCACCUCCCUGAGUAGCCUGUUCCAUCACCUAAGAUUGCCCUCCUCCUCUUCAAUUUAGGUACAGCUAUCUGCCUAUAAUAUGUAAUUCCAGAAAGCAUCUUCCUUGUGGUCCUUCUGACACCCACUCAAGCUACAAGAUGUUCUUUACCCUAUUCCAGAAGCCCUGUCCUGGAUGGAAGCAAAGCUACCUGCUGUCAGUGUUGGUAAUUCACAACAACUCUGGAAACCUUAGAAGAAGAGGUAACAUGGGCAUCUCUGCAUCAUACCUCCAAUGUUUAUCAGCCCUUUCUGAAUUGCACUGCUGCUCUCUUGAAGGCUUGACAGAAGCUACAUACUGUGUGCCUGAGGUGCGGUAGCAUACAAAAUCGUGCCAGAGAAGGCAGGGAUAAGAGCUACAGGCUGGCUCAUAAGGUCCACCACAGGUGGUCCUGUUGUAGGUCACAUUGGUUGAACAGUGUUGUUACCAAACUGUGAUAUUUCCAGUGAGUUAUUCUGACAGCCAGAUAAACCUUCAGCUAAAUAAAUAACAGGCAUAGCCUUCAACCAACCAAAUGCAACUGUUUAAUUAAUGUGCUUAUUCUAAGUAAAUUAAAAGGCAAGGGAUUGGGAGGGGGGGAGCCUUCUGAUCUUUUAAGGAUGAAUAAAGCAGAAAAUGCAAUACCAGAUCUAAACAUGAAAGCGAGUGAAUCCUCUUAAAGCUGAGGAUGCAACAGUAAUGCAAAGCAGGAAAACAGCUUUUCAUUUUCAGCCAUAGACUCAAUCUGGUGGACUAAUAGUAAGAAGAUACAAAUUGUAAUAAAUUGUGGUUUUUGCAGGAAGGCUUGAACAUCACACCAAAACAAGAACAAUUUCCACUUUCUCACUGCCUGUCUUACAGCAAAGAAGGGAGAUCAAGACCAGUAACCAUACAGGACAAAAUCUGACUGUAAGAAUCUGUUGCAAUUGUAACUAAGAACAUUUUUCACUUUUUGUGAGAUAACUAGAAUACCUUCUCUCCAGUGCUUUGUAAGGGUUAUCGUAUGGGUGCCUCUCUGUCUAGAGUAUAGUACAGAUGUAGCAUCAACUCUUUUCCUGCCUGCUGAGAAGGGAAAUACCCACUUUGUAGUGGGUUGAAAGUAUUAGACACAGACACAAAUCAAAAGCCAUUAAAAAAAAAAAAAAAAGUAGAAAAGCCAUAUCCAUCUGAAGUCCUUCUUCUGAGAAUUGAUGUAGAAGGUUUUCUGGAGGUGGAGAAAGCUCUUCCACCUCCAGAGCCCCACUCACAUGUUCCUUAGAGGCACACAUAUCUAUGCAAUGAGCGUGUAAGCUGAAAAGAGACCAGAAUGGCUGUAGCAAGUUUCAUGCAGGCAUCCUUCAGAACCUCCAAUCUGCCUCUUCAAACAGUAGCACCAGCAGCAGAAAGUCCUGUUUUUUAUCAGAGCAUUGAGCAGAACAGGAGAAGCUGUAAGAUGCUGCUAUCUGUACUACUAAAGGUGGUGGAGCAGGCAGGCAGGACCUGCAGCUAGGUUCUGUUAGACUGAC
ensembl:lncRNA